rnacentral:rRNA from 1 species
AUUGAACGCUGGCGGCAGGCCUAACACAUGCAAGUCGAACGGUAACAGGAAACAGCUUGCUGUUUCGCUGACGAGUGGCGGCCGGGUGAGUAAUGUCUGGGAAACUGCCUGAUGGAGGGGGAUAACUACUGGAAACGGUAGCUAAUACCGCAUAACGUCGCAAGACCAAAGAGGGGGACCUUCGGGCCUCUUGCCAUCGGAUGUGCCCAGAUGGGAUUAGCUAGUAGGUGGGGUAACGGCUCACCUAGGCGACGAUCCCUAGCUGGUCUGAGAGGAUGACCAGCCACACUGGAACUGAGACACGGUCCAGACUCCUACGGGAGGCAGCAGUGGGGAAUAUUGCACAAUGGGCGCAAGCCUGAUGCAGCCAUGCCGCGUGUAUGAAGAAGGCCUUCGGGUUGUAAAGUACUUUCAGCGGGGAUGAAGGGAGUAAAGUUAAUACCUUUGCUCAUUGACGUUACCCGCAGAAGAAGCACCGGCUAACUCCGUG